UAUAAUAGCAAUAGUAUAGGAGACUCAAGGGUGGUUAGCAUUCCCUAGUGAAAGGGGGUGCUGCCUAUGUCGAUCUUUCAGACAAUCAUGAUCAUGAUUGCGUUUGCAAGUUUGAUUGUAUCGAUCAUCGCUUUAACACAGAAAAAGUAAUCCACCCUUGAGCUCGCCCAGCAAGAGAGAUGGAUUACUUUUUUAAUCUGCUGAUCCCCUUAAGGGACCUGGCUAUUGCAUCGACCGUUCAGUGUAACCAGCACUGGCG
rnacentral:sRNA from 1 species